UACGUAGGGUGCAAGCGUUGUCCGGAAUUAUUGGGCGUAAAGAGUUCGUAGGCGGUUUGUCGCGUCCGUUGUGAAAGCUUGGGGCUCAACCCCAAUUCUGCAGUGGAUACGGGCAGACUAGAGUCAGGUAGGGGAGAACGGAAUUCCUGGUGUAGCGGUGAAAUGCGCAGAUAUCAGGAGGAACACCGGGGGCGAAGGCGGUUCUCUGGGCCUGUACUGACGCUGAGGAACGAAAGCGUGGGGAGCGAACAGG
rnacentral:rRNA from 1 species